rnacentral:rRNA from 1 species
CCUACGGGUGGCAGCAGUCGAGAAUCAUUCACAAUGGGGGAAACCCUGAUGGUGCGACGCCGCGUGGGGGAAUGAAGGUCUUCGGAUUGUAAACCCCUGUCAUGUGGGAGCAAAUGAAAAAGAUAGUACCACAAGAGGAAGAGACGGCUAACUCUGUGCCAGCAGCCGCGGUAAUACAGAGGUCGCAAGCGUUGUUCGGAAUCACUGGGCGUAAAGCGUGCGUAGGCUGUGUCGUAAGUCGUGUGUGAAAGGCGCGGGCUCAACCCGCGGACGGCACAUGAUACUGCGAGACUAGAGUGAUGGAGGGGGAACCGGAAUUCUCGGUGUAGCAGUGAAAUGCGUAGAUAUCGGGAGGAACACUCGUGGCGAAGGCGGGUUCCUGGACAUUAACUGACGCUGAGGCACGAAGGCCAGGGGAGCGAAAGGGAUUAGAUACCCCAGUAGUC